UGAGGAAUAUUGCGCAAUGAGCGAAAGCUAGACGCAGCAACGCCGCGUGGACGAUGAAGGCCUUCGGGUCGUAAAGUCCUUUUCAGAGGGACGAGUGAGGACGGUACCUCUGGAAUAAGUCACGGCUAACUACGUGCCAGCAGCCGCGGUAAAACGUAGGUGGCGAGCGUUAUCCGGAUUCACUGGGCGUAAAGCGCCUGCAGGCGGUCCUGUAAGUGGGAUGUGAAAUCUCCUGGCUUAACUGGGAGAGGCCGUUCAAUACUGUCGGGCUAGAGGACGGCAGAGGGAGGUGGAAUUCCCGGUGUAGUGGUGAAAUGCGUAGAUAUCGGGAGGAACACCAGUGGCGAAGGCGGCCUUCUGGGCCGAACCUGACGCUCAGACGCGAAAGCUAGGGGAGCGAACGGGAUUAGAAACCCCGGUAGUCCUAGCCGUAAACGAUGUAGACUGGGCGUCGGUGGGGUAAAAGCCAUCGGUGCCGAAGCUAACGCGAUAAGUCUACCGCCUGGGGACUACGGCCGCAAGGUUA
rnacentral:rRNA from 1 species